UCAAGCUACAAAGGGCGCAAGGAGAAUGCCUUGGCACUGGGAGCCGAUGAAAGACGUGGUAAGCUGCGAUAAGCUUCGGGGAGGAGCAAACAUCCUUUGAUCCGGAGAUUUCUGAAUGAGGAAACUCACCAGAGUUCAUACUCUGGUAUCCUGUACUGAAUCCAUAGGUACAGGAGGGGAACCGCCUGAACUGAAACAUCUAAGUAGGGCGAGGAAGAGACAUCAAACGAGAUUCCGUAAGUAGUGGCGAGCGAACGCGGAAGAGGGCAAACCGGGAGUAGAAAUACUUCCGGGGUACGGACCGCAUUUAGGACUUAAGUUGUUAACCGAACGGCAUGGGAAGGCCGGUCAGAGAGUGUGAGAACCACGUAGGUGAAAACGGAGAGAGCUGCGCAGGAUCCAGAGUACGGCCAGACACGUGAAACCUGGUCGGAAUACGGGGGGACCACCCUCCAACCCUAAAUACUACCCAGUGACCGAUAGCGUAUAGUACUGUGAAGGAAAGGUGAAAAGCACCCCGGGAGGGGAGUGAAAAAGAACCUGAAACCCUGUGCCUACAAGCACCUAGAGCACGUCAAUGUGUGAUAGGGUACUUUUUGUAGAACGGUCCGGCGAGCGAUUGUAUGCAGCAAGGUUAAGGACUUAAGGUCUGGAGCCGAAGCGAAAGCGAGUUUGAAAAGGGCGUUAAGUUGCAUACAAUGGGCCCGAAACCGGGUGACCUACCCAUGGUCAGGUUGAAGUGGAAGUAAAAUUCCAUGGAGGACCGAACCGACCUCCGUUGAAAAGGCGGCGGAUGAACUGUGGGUAGCGGAGAAAUUCCAAUCGAACCCGGAGAUAGCUGGUUCUCCCCGAAAUAGUUUUAGGACUAGCCUCAAGUUAGAUACCUGGAGGUAAAGCACUGAAUAGCCUAGCGGCCGAGAGGUUAGCGAAGCUUAUCAAACUCAGAAUGCCAGAGUAUUGAUGCUUGGGAGUCAGACAGUGUCAGAUAAAUGUCAUUGUCAAAAGGGAAACAGCCCAGAUCUACAGCUAAGGUCCCAAAGUCAGGUUAAGUGGAAAACGAUGUGAAGAUACGCAGACAACCAGGAUGUUGGCUCAGAAGCAGCCACUCAUUCAAAGAGUGCGUAAUAGCUCACUGGUCGAGCGUCUUUGCGCGGAGAAUUUAACGGGGCUAAACCUGACACCGAAGCUUAGGCAAUACAGCAAUGUAUUGGGUAGGGGAGCGUUGUAUACGCGGUGAAACAGUAGCGCAAGCGGCUGUGGAGUGUAUAGAAGUGAGAAUGCCGGAAUGAGUAGCGCGAAUGCAGUGAGAAUCUGCAUGGCCGAAAGCCUCAGGUUUCUGGAGGAAGGUUCGUCCGCUCCAGGUUAGUCGGGAGCUAAGGUGAGGCCUAACGGCGUAGCCGAUGCACAGACGGUAGAGAUUCCGUCACCACCAAAAGAGUUAAACACAGGGACACAUUUGAAGUCUCGGAGCCGGGUGUUGGUUCCGGUAGCGAUCGAGGGAAGUUAGUACCGAAGUCCGGGAUGGAAGAUGGCGAGAAAAGCUGUGUGUAUUUCUGCGGUGCCCGUACCGCAAACCGACACAGGUAGGUAGGAAGAAGAUUCUAAGGCCAACGGGAGAAGGGUUGUUAAGGAACUCGGCAAAUUGACCCCGUAACUUCGGGAGAAGGGGUGCUCCAGAGAUGGAGCCGCAGAGAAUCGGCCCAAGCAACUGUUUACCAAAAACACAGGUUUGUGCUAAAUCGAAAGAUGACGUAUACGAGCUGACGCCUGCCCGGUGCUGGAAGGUUAAGAGGAGAUGUGCAAGCAUUGAAUCGAAGCCCCAGUGAACGGCGGCCGUAACUAUAACGGUCCUAAGGUAGCGAAAUUCCUUGUCAGGUAAG
rnacentral:rRNA from 1 species